UCCAUUCCAGCCGAAAAUAGAGAAGAAAACAUUUUUAGAGAUAUCGCCGUGUGCCUGCCACAUUUGAGUUCUGAGUAUUUUCAUAAGGAUCCGAGUAGAAACGGGCGAGUCAAUUGAGAAAACAUAUGCCACUUGUCUGGGGUUAGGGAAAGAGGAAGCGAGAAAGAGAAAGCUGCAGUCUUGAGGGUAUCUCGCAGUCGCAACUGACCGAGCACUUUGCAUUGUUUUUUUUUUUAACACUUUUUUUUUUAUUUGUCUUUUGCACUGGUUCGUAAACGUUCUCGCAUGCAGUUCGGCCAUUUUGUUGGACAGUGUGCGGGGCCCCGUUAAUCAUUUGGCACUUGUACAACAAGUCAACAGCUCGCUUGGCCCUUAUGCAAUUGCCAAUCGGCUGAUCGCGCCGAUCACGCUACUCAACAGCUAGAAAAUAGCAAAUCGAAAAGCAAAGCAUCAAAGGCCAUAAAGACGUCCGACUUCGGGACUUCGUCCGCUUAAACUCGGCUAUGGAACGAGCUGGACUCGAAAGUUUUGGUAUGUGCCCUCUCUUGGCCCAUGGGUAUUACGACCAACCAAAAACUCAGUGCCUAGUAGAGCUAAGGCUACAAACUUGGGCACAAAUGAGAUAUGUGCAUACGAUCUGGUCUAGUCUAGUCCGAUAUAUGAUCGUAUGCAAGCCGAUCUUCAAAGGUGAAUCAUAAUUUGAAAUAAAGUUAUAUGAAAUAAGGAA